rnacentral:rRNA from 1 species
UACAGAGGGUGCAAACGUUGUUCGGAAUCACUGGGCAUAAGGCGUACGUAGGCGGCGUCGUAAGUGUCGGAUGAAAUCCCACGGCUUACCCGUGGAACGGUCCGGCAUACUGCGGUGCUAGAGGAUGGUAGAGGAGAGCGGAACUCUUGGUGGAGCGGUGAAAUGCGUAGAUAUCAAGAGGAACACCGGUGGCGAAGGCGGCUCUCUGGUCCAUGUCUGACGCUGAGGUACGAAAGCCAGGGGAGCAAACGGG